AACGCACAUUGCGCCCCUUGGUAUUCCGAGGGGCAUGCCUGUUCGAGCGUCAUUAUCAACCAUCAAGCUCUGCUUGGCUUUGGGCGUCGUCCCCCACGGGACGCGCCCUAAAGACGUAGGCGGUGACCCCGAGUCUCAAGCGUAGUACCAUCUUUAGCUUAGAGGCCUCGGCGGCUGCUCGCCCCUAGAAACCAUCACCUAAAGGUUGACCUCGGAUCAGGUAGGGAUACCCGCUGAACUUAA
rnacentral:misc_RNA from 1 species